rnacentral:lncRNA from 1 species
AUGUGCAAUUUCUUAUAUCACCAAGACAUAAUUUUCAAAUUAAGACCUAAGGGCCACCACUUAUGGGAGAUAAUCAAGAUCUUGCAUCAGUACUCAGAUCUCAGCAUUCGGAUCUCCUGGGAGCAUCAUGAUGUAGUGGAGAGAGGCCAAUGCAGUCCCUGGGGUCAGAGUGUGAGAGAGACAUUGGCUGCGUCCUGGCUCUGCCCACUACCAUCUACAGACCUUUAUUUUUUUUUUUUCAUUUUUAAAAAAGUUUUAUCGACGUAUAGGUUUGGAAUUAGCAUAUACACCCUGAGGUGUAUAGAAUGAUUGGCCAACGGGGACCUGCGAGAUAGCACAGAGAACAUUCUGUGAUAAUCUUUGUGGGGCAAGAAUCUAAAAGAGAAUGGCUGUGUGUGUGUACACGGAUAACUGAAUCACUGUGUUGCACAGCAGAAAUUAUCACAACAUUGUUAAUCAACUCUGCCUCCAUCUACAUAACUUAAGAAGAGGGGCUCUUUCUGAGCUUCAGCUUCCUCACUGGAAAACGAGGACCAUCACCGCUAUUUUCCUUACAGAGCUGCUGGGAGAGCAAUAUGGGAUGCAAAACAUGUAGAGAUGCUCUACAAGGGCCGGUGCCCUGUGCUCUCCCCACUCCCACCGGGGCCUUCCCCACCACCCCCACCCAUCGGCCUCCCACUAGCACAUACAAGAAACGGCCAGUUUCUGUUCUUUUCCUUUAUCAAUACUUCCAAAAUCCUCUUUCUAAUCUAUAUAACUACAACGUCAAACUGAUAAGUUUCUUGGGAAGCCAGAACCAGAAAAUGUGCUGUUGGUGGGUCAGUUGACUUGGGAUGCCAGGUUGGAAAAAGAAUGAAUUUUUUUACCAUUUUUGGCUGCAUGAGGAAGUUACAGGACCAGGGAUCAAAUCCAUGUCACAGCAGUGACCCAGGCCACAGCAGUGACAACACCAGAUCCUUAACCACUAAUAAUCAGAUAUAUUCAAAUAUUUGUGUACAGGCUGUACAUUCUAGUAUUGUAAUAGUGAAGGAGUAGAAAUAAAUAAGAUUUCUAAGACUAGGAUACCA